GGGAAUAUUUAAGGAGAUUGUUCACCCAAAACUGUCAUUUAUUACUCCUCUCCAUUCUUCAAAACUGUAUGACUUUCUUUAAUAAACACAAAAGAGGAGACAUUAGGCGCAAUUUAAAUAAUGUUGGUAACCGUUUUUCUCCCCGUACUGUGGAAGUCUAGUUAACUGUUUGUUUCUUAACAUUCUUCAAAAUAUAUUUUUUUGUGUUCAACAGAAAAAAGAAACUCGUACAGUUUUGAUAUAUCUUAAGGUUCAGUAAAUGAAGACAGAAUUUUCAUUUUUGCUUGAUUUAUUGCUUUAAGGAUGGACAGCCUCCGUUUCCAUUUGUAUUUACUUUUACAUCAUCUUUUUGUGAAAGUGAAUGAUGAUUGAGGCUAUCAUACUGACAAAUUUUCUUUUGUGUUCCAUGGGGUGAAAAAAAGCCAAAUGAGUUUGACAGAACAUGGACUGAAUGCCAGAAUUUUCUUUUUUGUCAACGAUCCCUGUAAAAUACUGUACUGCAUUGCUAAAUAUGUGACCCACUGUAAAAUUUCCCUCAUGCAAAUUUCUUUAUAUUUGUACUCUUCAUUAAGCGUUCACCUUAAUUUGUGUCAUGUAAUGGGGAGAGAAGUUUGAGGAGAGGGUAAAGCUGCAGUGUGACUUUGAUCUUUGUAAAUACUUGUAAACUGUUCCAAGGAACGUUUUUAUCAACAUUCCCAAUCUCUACGUAAAAAAAAAAAAUGCAUAACUUGUAUACAAAUAAAUGAAAGGAAAUCUGAUCCAUUUUUGUUAAGGAUUUCCCUUAUACAGUUUGUACAUGUAAUACUGAAAACGCGUUUCACUUUUGUCCUAAGUCGCUAUCCUUAAACAGUGGGCGUGGCUUCAUUUUGUAGUUCUUUCUCUGUAAACAUGCCGACUGCAGGCUCGGGUCCUUCAGAUGUGAACGAGAAGAACAAGCUCUAAUAAAAUCAUUGUACAUAUAUCACAGUUUGCUGACGAUAACUUAACAAUCGUCCGGUUAAGUAACAGUUUUGCACAAUGCGUGUCAAUUUUUGAUUUAAUUUUAAUAAUGUAGAAAAAUGACAGCUCCCUGUAUUGAGAUAUGAGUUUGUGAACUACGAAUUAUAUGCCAACUGCCCAUGUAAGACACAAUAUAUGUUAUAUUUUGCUAUGUUGAUAUUUGCAUAUUUUAAUAUGCUCCCCAACAGAACAUCAGCACAUGUCUUGAUCUCGUGGGUCUUCUCAUCAUAGCGAGGAGCAUUAGACUGAUUUCAAAAUUUGGCUCUGCAGCUGAUAUUCCAGCACGUUUCAUUGAGGGAAACUUCAGUAUCAGAAGAAGACUAAGAAAUAUUACCAAAAAAAGGGCUUGAAGUGGAACACAUUCCAAUUAAUGUCCCUUUGCUCAGUCGCUUGCUUAUUAAACGUCAGCCCGUGACCCUUCUGGAUGUGCGUCUGGCUGGAGUGGAGCUGACCGCAGAAGGGCAGGACUGGAUUGGUCAACAG